rnacentral:rRNA from 1 species
GACGAACGCUGGCGGCGUGCUUAACACAUGCAAGUCGAACGAAGUGGCGAACGGGUGAGUAACGCGUAAUCAACCUGCCCUUCAGAGGGGGACAACCGUGGGAAACGACUGCUAAUACGGCACACUGAAGGAGGGGAUUGAGUCGGAAUAGCUCGUCGGAGGGGUAAAGGCCCACCAAGGCGAUGAUCAGUAGCCGGUCUGGGAGGAAGAACAGCCAAAUUGGGACUGGGACACGGCCCCAGCUCCUACGGGAGGCAGCAGUGGGGAAACUUCCGCAAUGGACGAAAGUCUGACGAAGCAACGCCGCGUGAGUGAUGACGGCCUUCGGGUUGUAAAGCUCUGUUAAUCGGGACGCGGUACCGGAAUAGAAAGCCACGGCUAACUACGUGCCAGCAGCCGCGGUAAUUC